rnacentral:rRNA from 1 species
UACGUAGGUGGCAAGCGUUGUCCGGAUUUACUGGGCGUAAAGGGCGUGCAGGCGGUCUGUUAAGUCUAGGGUGAAAGCUCCCGGCUCAACUGGGAGAGGUCCUUGGAUACUGGCAGACUUGAGGAGAGUAGAGGAGAGUGGAAUUCCCGGUGUAGUGGUGAUAUGCGUAGAUAUCGGGAGGAACACCAGUGGCGAAGGCGGCUCUCUGGGCUCUACCUGACGCUGAGGUGCGAAAGCGUGGGGAGCAAACAGG